AAGACAGCUAAUACGGAAGUUCAUGCUGGCACCUGUGACUCCAUUUUGAAGUACUUAACAUGUCUUAAUGGGGCUUAAAUGCUGUAAGUUUCGCACGAGACAAGUUACCUGGAGCUGCAGGGAUCAGCUUGGGACCACGAGGCAGAGGAAAGUCAACAAGCUAAAGAUUGCUGAGUGGAAAGAUAGAGCCUGGCAUAGGUGAACCAAUGCUGGAAACCACGUUCUCUGUGCCACCUGUGAUAUGCGAAAAAUAAACCCUGGAUACUGAAGCCUCUGCUUGUUACAUGUUCCAUUACUUGCAGCUGAGCACAUUCCUCGGUGAUGAGAAGUCUCUUUCCCCAAGCGCUUGGAUGGCACCUUUCUCCAUACUGUUGAUCGUCAUAUAUUGCCCUGAGAGGAAGCAUGAGCCCACAGCCCACCAUUCCCACCUGGGGAAGAUCGCAGCUGCAGAAGCCUCCUCUGCUCGUAGAUGUGCGUUGUAUCCCUGGGUAGAGGCAGAUGAAAAGGUAAUUAAGAACCACAGUUUUAAAAGAUUUGUGCAAAAGAGGUGAGGAGUGGAGCCAAAGAGAGAUGAACACGUGAAAUGAGACGUCAGUAAUGAGCUUGUUAUUUCUGCCCGACAAGCUAUCUGGAUGGAAUGAGGUUUCUUGUUGGGGAGGAAGCAGAGAUGACCGGGAUGGUGCGUCCACUGCGAUGUGUGCCCACAGACGGCUUUCAGCUCAUCAGCCCCUACAAGCCGUACCUGGGCUGCAGAGACAAAAGUCACGCCCCUUCCUGGGGCAGCCCACGUCCAAUAAUUGAUCGAUGGCGGGGGUCUUAGACUCCUCCGGCUGUUGUAACAAAUACCACAGAU